AUUGAACGCUGGCGGCAGGCCUAACACAUGCAAGUCGAGCGGAGCGGCGGACGGGUGAGUAAUGCCUAGGAAUCUGACUGGUAGUGGGGGAUAACGUCCGGAAAAGGGCGCUAAUACCGCAUAAUAUCAGAUGAGCCUAGGUCGGAUUAGCUAGUGGGUGGGGUAAAGGCCUACCAAGGCGACGAUCCGUAACUGGUAUGAGAGGAUGAUCAGUCACACUGGAACUGAGACACUGUCCAUACUCCUACGGGAGGCAGCAGUGGGGAAUAUUGGACAAUGGGCGAAAGCCUUAUCCAGCCAUGCCGCGUGUGUGAGGAAGGUCUUCGGAUUGUAAAGCACUUUAAGUUGGGAGGCGUUACCAACAGAAUAAGCACCGGCUAACUUCGUGCCAGCAGCCGCGGUAAUAC
rnacentral:rRNA from 1 species